rnacentral:rRNA from 1 species
UACGAAGGGGGCUAGCGUUGCUCGGAAUGACUGGGCGUAAAGGCGCGUAGCGGCUUGUAUAGUCGGAUGGUGAAAUUCCUGGGCUUAACCUGGGGGCUGCAUACGAGACGUAUGGGCUUGAGUGCGGAAGAGGGUCGUGGAAUUCCCAGUGUAGAGGUGAAAUGCGCAGAUAUCAGGAGGAACACCGGUGGCGAAGGCGGGUCUCUGGGCCGAUACUGACGUGGAGGAGCGAAAGCGUGGGGAGCGAACAGG